rnacentral:rRNA from 1 species
UACGUAGGCGGUUUCAUAGGUCAGAUGUAAAAGCGUGGGGCUCAACCCCAUAAAGCAUUUGAAACUGUGGAACUUGAGUAGUGGAGAGGAAAGUGGAAUUCCUAGUGUAGCGGUGAAAUGCGUAGAUAUUAGGAGGAAUACCAGUGGCGAAGGCGACUUUCUGGACACAAACUGACGCUGAGGUACGAAAGCAUGGGGAGCAAACA